CUAUGACAGGGCUGAUGGAAAACGAUGAGUGGACAAAUUAUUCUUUGUCAAGAAUUUGAACUGGGAAGUGCUGAGAUAAGCAGGUGGCGGUGGGAACUGAGGCUGAAAGAAAACACGGAAAUACGGAGCCCCUGAGUAGGGGUAGCAUGACGUAUAAGUCACACGUAAGUCAAAUUCCAAGGGAACAGAAGCCAUUUGUGAGCGGAAGCUACAAGGUGGAGAAUGUUCAUAGAGAAGAAAGCCCAUUCGUGUAGGAAUGGAAAUGGACAGACUUCAGGCCUGGAGGCAUAGAGUGAAAUUCCUUCAACUGCCCAGACAACCUUUGCUGAAGGCCUUGGGUCUGAGCAUCCCUGAAGGUCCAGUCUGAGCCCCGGGGCUACCUGGCUCUGGUUCCUGUUUCCUUCUCCUUGGGACUUCUUCAUGGACCAAUCCGCGACCUGCUCCCCAGCCAUCCUGUAGAGUUGGUCAAAGGGAAAGCCUGUGUUUGCUAUUUUGGAGCACCUGCUGAAACUGACCCUGCAUUGAUGUCUGUCUACACUGUCAUUCAAGAUUGUGCUCAAGUGUCUCCUUCUUAGAGGGCAGUGAGACUUCUAUCCUCCUCAAGGACGAAUGAUGAUAGUGAGGUAGGAGGCGGGACUCAAAUCAGGAGGUAGGACCUGACUCUGGAGGUGGGGCUUGGAAACUGGACCAAACUGAGGACUAGCUAAAACAGGGACAGGGUGGAAGCACCUUUUCAUAAGACACACCCACCAGUGUGCCAUGACAAUUUACCCUUGCAUGGCAAUAAUUGAAAGUUACUGUCCCUUUCCAGGGCAACAACCUGAUGACCUGAAGUUGCCACCUCUUCUAGAAAUGUCUCCAUAAUCCACCCCUGAGUUUGCGUAUAACUAAAAGUGAGUAUAAAAAGGACUGCAGGCCAGGUGCGGUGGCUUCUGCCUGUAAUCCCAGCACUUUGGGAGGUGGAAGCGGGUGGAUCACAUGAGGUCAGGAGUUUGAGACCAGCCUGGCCAACAUGGCGAAACCCCAUCUCUACUAAAAAUGCAAAAAUUAGCUAGGCAUGGUGGCAGGUGCCUGUAAUUUCAGCUACUUGAGAGGCUGAGGCAGGAGAAUUGGUUGAACCCGGGAGACGGAGGUUGCAGUGAGCAGAGAUCGCGCCAUUGCACUCCAGCCUGGGUGACAGAGUGAGACUCUGUCUCUCUCUCUCUCUCUGUCACACACACACACACAAAUGUAUAUAUAUGACUGCAAAACUGCCUCUGAGCUGCUAACCCCUCACACUGCCUAAGGGGUAGCCCUAUCUGCAAGAACAGUGAAGGAGCUAUAACCCUGCUACCUCAAUAAAGCUUCUACCACUGGCUUACUCUUAAAUUUUUUCCUGAGUGAAGCCAAGAACUAUCCUGGGCUAAGCCCCAAUUUGGAGCUUGCUUGCCCUGCAUCA
rnacentral:lncRNA from 1 species